GAUGAAGAACGUAGCGAAAUGCGAUACGUAAUGUGAAUUGCAGAAUUCAGUGAAUCAUCGAAUCUUUGAACGCAUAUUGCGCUCUCUGGUAUUCCGGAGAGCAUGCUUGUUUGAGUAUCAGUAAACACCUCAACUUCCAUAUCUUUUUUGAAAUGGGAGUUGGACUUGAGUGAUCCCAACGCUUUUCCUCACCGAAAAGUGGCGGGUUACUUGAAAUGCAGGUGCAGCUGGACUUUUCUCUGAGCUAGAAGCAUAUCUAUUUAGUCUGCCUAAAAAACAGAUUAUUACCUUUGCUGCAGCUAACAUAAAGGAGAUUAGUUCUUGUGCUGACUGAUGCAGGAUUCACAAAGACGGCUUCGGCCGACUUUGUAAACUCGAUCUCAAAUCAAGUAAGACUACCCGCUGAACUUAAGCAUAUCAAUAAGCGGAGGA
rnacentral:misc_RNA from 1 species